rnacentral:rRNA from 1 species
GAGUUUGAUCCUGGCUCAGGACGAACGCUGGCGGCGUGCUUAACACAUGCAAGUCGAACGAAGCUUGAUUACGGAAUUCUUCGGAAAGAAGUAUGAUAUGACUUAGUGGCGGACGGGUGAGUAACGCGUGAGUAACCUGCCUUUCAGAGGGGGAUAACGUUUGGAAACGAACGCUAAUACCGCAUGAAAUAUAUUUAAGGCAUCUUAGAUAUAUCAAAGAUUUAUCGCUGAGAGAUGGACUCGCGUCUGAUUAGAUAGUUGGUGAGGUAACGGCUCACCAAGUCGACGAUCAGUAGCCGGACUGAGAGGUUGAACGGCCACAUUGGGACUGAGACAUGGCCCAGACUCCUACGGGAGGCAGCAGUGGGGAAUAUUGCACAAUGGGCGCAAGCCUGAUGCAGCAACGCCGCGUGAGGGAAGACGGUCUUCGGAUUGUAAACCUUUGUCUUUGGUGAAGAAGAAAGUGACGGUAGCCAAGGAGGAAGCCACGGCUAACUACGUGCCAGCAGCCGCGGUAAUACGUAGGUGGCAAGCGUUGUCCGGAAUUACUGGGUGUAAAGGGAGCGCAGGCGGGACAGCAAGUUGGAUGUGAAAUACCGAGGCUUAACCACGGAGCUGCAUCCAAAACUGUUGUUCUUGAGUGAAGUAGAGGUAGGCGGAAUUCCGAGUGUAGCGGUGAAAUGCGUAGAUAUUCGGAGGAACACCAGUGGCGAAGGCGGCCUACUGGGCUUUAACUGACGCUGAGGCUCGAAAGUGUGGGGAGCAAACAGGAUUAGAUACCCUGGUAGUCCACACUGUAAACGAUGAUUGCUAGGUGUGGGGGGUCUGACCCCCUCCGUGCCGGAGUUAACGCAAUAAGCAAUCCACCUGGGGAGUACGGCCGCAAGGUUGAAACUCAAAGGAAUUGACGGGGGCCCGCACAAGCAGUGGAUUAUGUGGUUUAAUUCGAAGCAACGCGAAGAACCUUACCAGGUCUUGACAUCCGACUAACGAGAUAGAGAUAUGUCAGGUGCCCUUCGGGGAAAGUCGAGACAGGUGGUGCAUGGUUGUCGUCAGCUCGCGUCGUGAGAUGUUGGGUUAAGUCCCGCAACGAGCGCAACCCCUGCCAUUAGUUGCUACGCAAGAGCUCUCUAAUGGGACCGCUACCGACAAGGUGGAGGAAGGUGGGGACGACGUCAAAUCAUCAUGCCCCUUAUGACCUGGGCUACACACGUAAUACAAUGGCCGUUAACAACGAGGAGCAAACCCGCGAGGGGGAGCAAAACUCCAAAAACGGUCUCAGUUCGGAUUGCAGGCUGCAACUCGCCUGCAUGAAGUUGGAAUUGCUAGUAAUUGCGGAUCAGCAUGCCGCGGUGAAUACGUUCCCGGGCCUUGCACACACCGCCCGUCA